rnacentral:rRNA from 1 species
UACGUAGGGUGCGAGCGUUAAUCGGAAUUACUGGGCGUAAAGCGUGCGCAGGCGGCUUUGCAAGACAGAUGUGAAAUCCCCGGGCUCAACCUGGGAACUGCAUUUGUGACUGCAAGGCUAGAGUACGGCAGAGGGGGAUGGAAUUCCGCGUGUAGCAGUGAAAUGCGUAGAUAUGCGGAGGGACACCAAUGGCGAAGGCAAUCCCCUGGGCCUGUACUGACGCUCAUGCACGAAAGCGUGGGGAGCAAACAGG